UACGUAGGGGGCAAGCGUUGUCCGGAAUCAUUGGGCGUAAAGAGCGUGUAGGCGGCCCGGUAAGUCCGCUGUGAAAGUCCAGGGCUCAACCCUGGGAUGCCGGUGGAUACUGUCGGGCUCGAGUCCGGAAGAGGAGUGUGGAAUUCCGUGGUGUAGCGGUGAAAUGCGCAGAUAUCAGGAGGAACACCGGUGGCGAAGGCGGGAUCCUGGGCCAGUACUGACGCUGAGGAGCGAAAGCGUGGGGAGCAAACAGG
rnacentral:rRNA from 1 species